UCCUACGGGGGGCAGCAGUGGGGGAUAUUGCACAAUGGGGGAAACCCUGAUGCAGCGACGCCGCGUGUGGGAAGACGGUCCUCUGGAUUGUAAACCACUGUCCCCAGGGACGAAGAUGACGGUACCUGGGGAGGAAGCUCCGGCUAACUACGUGCCAGCAGCCGCGGUAAUACGUAGGUGGCAAGCGUUGUCCGGAUUUACUGGGUGUAAAGGGCGUGCAGCCGGGAAGACAAGUCAGAUGUGAAAUCCCGCGGCUCAACCGCGGAACUGCAUUUGAAACUGUUUUUCUUGAGUACCGGAGAGGG
rnacentral:rRNA from 1 species